UUCAUUCUUAUCUCCUCAAGCUUCCUAUCCCUCGUUUCCUUGCGGCCUAUUAUACGACGUCGCGUAGGUGUCCACCAUGAGCAUCCCAAUCUAGCAAUGUCGUCGUGCUAUUGGGGCGUUCGUGGUGACACCUAUGUGACGUCGUACUGUGAGAUACUGAUAGUGAGCUUGAGAGAUAAUAUCAGAGAUUAGUACGACCUGUCUAUGUGAGCCUUUAAAUAAGAAACAACAGAACAAUAUAUAUUAGUUCCACAAAAAUUUUAAACUCGAUGAUUUGCUCAUGAUGGUUUAAAAGGGAUGUUUGAAAAGAUCAUGAACCCGUCGAUGGAAUCACGCCGAGGGCGAACGUCGCCUUCACCACGAAGAAGAGCCUGCCCGAGAUCGACGCUGGCGCUGCGUGCGGAAGGCAGGCUUUUCUUCUGAGUGAAAGCGGUCGCCGGCGGUGUGAUAUUGUCGACCGGGUUCAUUGUAUAUAGAAUGUUGCUG
rnacentral:lncRNA from 1 species